UCCUCCACACCAGAAUGCAGGUUGUUUUAUUUUUUUUAAGUAUGAUUUCUCUCUUACGUGGACAUCUAAACAGGAACAACUGAUUCCUUUUUUAGAGUUCAUGAAACACUGCCAAAGGAAGCAAGGGCAAUGGGACAUCAUUUUAGGAAGGAAAGAGAACAGAAGAUAAAGCCACUCAUAUGCACAUUUGAAUGUCAUGAAAUACCAACAGCCCACAAAAAAGAAAUAUGCUACACUGAAACAUGGAAAAUAAAUACAGGAUCUCCAGAUGGGGCUUGUUCUUCCCAUCUCUGCUGAUAAGCCCUCCUGAGAACGCUCUAAUGGAAUACGUGUUUGAGACGAGGAAGGAGCUGAACUGGCAGGGGAUUUACAACGUGAACCAGUGAAUGUGAAUAUAUGGAAAUUAUAUACACCUUCAUGAAAGUUCACACAUGGGAUCUGGACUGAGAAUUUGCAUGGCCUGUCCUGAAAAUGUUUAUCAGUGUAGCACGUAAAGCUAGUUUCUGAAGAAACCAUGAGUCAGAAUGGUUUCUGUUUUCAUAAGAUUAACAUAAAAUUACUGGGAUGCUGUUUCUACUGCAGAAUGGUAAUAUGCAGAAAUCAGUUUGUAGAAAAUUAUUUUUCCGAAACAAUUCAGCCACUGUUGCCUUCGAUCACUGGCACUGAUGAAUCUUUGUGAAUGCAUGACUCUGUUUCAGUGGAAAUGCAACCCUAGUUAUAAAUUAUCUGCCCGACAAUGAUAGAUUCUAGAGAAUUAAUUAUUAGUUGAUUCUAUCUUUAAAUGAAAAUUGAUUAGGCAUCCUUGGAAAAAGAUACUAUAUACUUAGCCAAAAUGAAUUGGACUUAUAUUAAAAGUGCCCCUUCAGGUUUAAAUAGCAUUAUGAAUUGGUAAGUAUUCAAAAAUAUUAAGAAUAAAAGGUAUACAAAUAGCAGUGGUCAAAGAACUGGA